rnacentral:tRNA from 2 species
CAAAUUAAAGCUUGAUAGAAAAGUUUUUCAUUUACAUUGAAAGGAGGUUGUGCAAAUCAACAUAGUUUGA